GCCGCAAUAGCUCAGCUGGGAGAGCAGUAGACUGAAGUUCUAAAGGUCCCCCGUUCGAUCCGGGGUUGUGGCA
rfam:Fomitiporia mediterranea MF3/22 unplaced genomic scaffold FOMMEscaffold_7, whole genome shotgun sequence.